GUAGGGAAUAUUGGGCAAUGGAGGCAACUCUGACCCAGCCAUGCCGCGUGCAGGAUGACGGCCCUCUGGGUUGUAAACUGCUUUUAUACGGGAAGAAAAAAUACUACGUGUAGUAUACUGACGGUACCGUAAGAAUAAGGAUCGGCUAACUCCGUGCCAGCAGCCGCGGUAAUACGGAGGAUCCAAGCGUUGUCCGGAUUUAUUGGGUUUAAAGGGUGCGUAGGCGGAUCUUUAAGUCAGUGGUGAAAGCCUGCAGCUUAACUGUAGAAUUGCAAUUGAAACUGAAGAUCUUGAAUGUGGUUAAAGUAGGCGGAAUGUAUCAUGUAGCGGUGAAAUGCUUAGAUAUGAUACAGAACACCGAUAGCGAAGGCAGCUUGCUGAACCAUUAUUGACGCUGAGGCACGAAAGCGUGGGGAGCGAACAGGAUUAGAAACCCUAGUAGUCC
rnacentral:rRNA from 1 species